CCUGAAAAAGGAAAUAUCUCAAAUAAUAAUAACUAUUAAAAAGAAAAAUUAUUUUCUUCUUCGAAUAACAAGCAGUAAAUAAUAAAUAUAUUCAUUGAGUAUGCGCCUGCUCAAUUACAUAACCUAUUUAUCAUAUACGAAGAACAAAUUGAUUUUAUUCUAUUUAUUACGUAAAUAUGAGUAACAAGGUUGCACGCGAUACGAUAGAAAUAUUAGCGAUGAAAGGAUAAAAAUACGAAAGCAGGUAUGUUUAUCAAUGGUCGGUAAGUAUGUACACAAUUUGAACAUCAAUGCUAGCAAAUCUAGAUAACCUAGAUAAUCGAGAGAAAGAGUGCCUGCCAAACUUCUUUUUACCACGUAUAUAACGCGAUGCUGUAUCUUGCGUGUCGUGUCUUUCUCGCGACAUACAUUUUUCCCACAGCGAUCAACGAUCGACACAACGAUAGAUUCCGAGAAACGAAUGUAGGGCCGAAAGAAAGGAGCGUUUUCGAACGAAACGGCCUCGCUGUCCCUCCUUACAAGGCAUCUUAACCGGACGAUUGAACAUACCGACCUUGCCGGUGUUGAACUCUGUCAGGAAACUCGCCCACUAGGACUGUUUGUGCAACAUUGGUAACGGAAAUUCGAUGAGAAAGGAGAUAAAAAAAAAUACGUAUAUAAAACGUUAACAGGUUCGCCUACUAUUAUGGCUAACUCGCGUCAAUGUAAUCGUUCGUAACUUCAUUAACGACAUCUUGCGAAAUCGGUGAGAAGUACGAUCGAGAAAGUUUAUAAUCGAUAUUUCGUUUAAUUACAACGAUUAGGAUUAAUUUUCUUUUUUACAAAGAUAGAUACGUGGAAUUGUUUCUUAUUAUGCAUAUAAACUGUAAUAUAAUCGUUAAUUAUUCCUUUUCUAGAUUAUUAAAGUAAUAUAAAAAUUAUGUGGAUCUCUAUAAAUCCAUCGUUAAGUGGCAUUCACAUUUUUCGACUGAAAUCAAUUUUUAAAUGUUGAUAAACUGAGGAUAGAAAAGAAAGAAAAAUUUCUUGUGAUUUAUGAUCGCAAUAUUAUAUUCGGGAAGGAAAAUAUAUUAUCAUUUAGAUGUAUUCUUUAAUAAUGGAUAAUAAUGGUUGGAUAUUAUUCAAAGUUCAGAGAGAAGCUGAAGAUUACGCCUAUAGAAUGCCAGCUAUGAAAGGAAAUUCUUUCACCUUCUUGCAGGAUAUUAGUCGACAUUCGAAGAAUAUUAAUGGAAGGCAGAAGAUCGUUGACCGACGAAUAUGGCGAAAAAAGAAAUAUAUAAAAUUUACGGUGUGGCAAAUUGCGGUAGCCCAUUCUCAAUCAAUACAGCGUUUCUUUUGUAUGAAUCUUGCAUACAAAACGAGUUUUAACUGUACCAGAUGUGUGCAGAGACAAGAAUAGAGGAGGAAAAAAAUUGAUCUUAUCUGGGACUCGUUUUUAAACGGAUCUUAAUACGCACGAAUCUAUUUCUAAAAAAAAAAAAAAAGUAAAUAAAUAUUCCUUAUAGAAAAUAUAUAAAAUAAAUAAGCAUCAAAUUUCAAACAUUUCUUUCGUAAAUAUAAAUCAAAAUAAAAUAUAAAUUGAAAGUUAUGUAAAAUAGAAAUUAAUUCAUAAAGUAAAGUUUCAUACGCAUAAGUGUAUAUAAAGGAGGAAACGAUUCUUAAAAAAAAAAAAACCAAUUUGUGCCGGAUGCAAGCAAUAGUAUCGUCUUUUUAUUCGCGGAAUGAUUCAUACGAUGCAAGAAUGCGGUGCUCGAAUGCGUGUCGUUCCCAUUGUACACCGAUUUUAUGUAUACGUGUGCACAUGUAUGUCGUGCUCAUUAUAAGAGAAGAGACUGUAUUGCAGGUAGAGCUUAAAGGAUUGGAUAAAAAUAUCGUUUGUAAAUAUCGUUGCCGUGAUAAAAGAUCUUUAUUGCAUUUAAAAAUAAACAAAACGUAUAUGAACUUUAAGUGAAUUUUUUUUUUCUAAAAAUUAACACGUGCAAACUUACGAACCACACCGUCUGUCUACUUUCGAUUUUGAAAUAGAUUUGGAACGUGUAAAAAUUAUGCAUCGAAGAAUUUGUUCUAAACUGCCUUAAAUUAUCACGUGCUACGUUUUUAUUACACAACGGCCUCGAUACAUAGAUAAUGAUGGAGCGUUCGACUUGCGUAAGAAGAAACAUGGUAAUUGUGUAACUGCAUUGUAGAGAGCUGCCACUACCGCCCACGAUACUUCCGAUCUCUUGACAAUUUUUAUCGCAUUGCCUUAGAUGUCACUGUACGCGAUUGCGUAUGUUCACCCUAACAGAUUCAUAUGAUCCUUUAUACGACAAAUCACUCAAUAAAAUACAAGUUCAAUUGUGAAA